rnacentral:lncRNA from 1 species
AGGAAAUUGAACUCUUCUCUUCUCUUCUCUGUGGAGACGCUGAGCCAGCCAUCAUCAUGUAGCAGACAAGGGAGUUGCAGGUCUGCAUACAUACAUAUGCAAGCAAACAUUUCUCUGCUGGUACUUAUGUCUGAGUCCCACACAGCCAAUGACAGCAAUCCCUGGAUGCUCCGUAAAGGAACUGGGCCAGACCUCCUGGACUGCACUGCAUCUGACUCACGCCACAUCAACUGACUCCGACCAGAGCCUCCAGUACUGGCUUCAAUCAAGUUAAGGAUUUCAACCUAGAUCUUCAAUCAAGCAAAUCCCAUCUAACAUGCACUGGAGAUAACCCGUUAGAGACUUCCCCUAUACUAACAUUUUCUUCCCACAGGACCCCACAAGGCUACCAUCGUCCUGUUUCAGCAGGAAGUAACUUGGAAGAUGCUACACCCCUGUUCCCCAUUAUUGUCUAUUAGGGUAGUGUAAGCCUAGUUAGGAAUAACUUUCUUAUUGUUUAGAGUUGGUAUUGGAAGGAGGUGUUCAAGUUGGACACCCCUUUCAGAUGACUUUAGGGCUUAGCCGGAAUAGACAUAGUUAGGAUGUGCAAUUAUAUACAAUUAUUGUAUCUUCUUGUAUUUCACCUUUAUGAUUGUUAAUUUUGUAUGUUUUACACCAUUAAGUUUUAAUCCUCUUUUAGACUAAAAGGGGAAUUGUAGGGAGAUCCUGUAGCCCCACCUCCUAGGAGCUAGGUACAGGUGUGCUUGACUAUGCCUGUCAGGGUGUGGUCAGGGGAGGUUCAGGGUGACUCAUGGGGAGUUCUUAAGGGGGCAGCAGACACAUGGGAGCCCUUCUCUCUGGCCUCCCUAGCCUGCUGCCUCUGGGCAUGCUCUGGCUUAUGCUUGGCCGCUGUUUAUCUGAAUAAAGAUAUUUUAACCUUACCGACUAUGGAUAGUCUUCGUUCUCGUUAUAUCCCAGUGCCAAGAUUAAAG